CCUACGGGAGGCAGCAGUGAGGAAUAUUGGUCAAUGGGAGAGAUCCUGAACCAGCCAAGCCGCGUGAGGGAAGACGGCUCUAUGGGUUGUAAACCUCUUUUGUCGGAGAACAAAACCCGGGACGUGUCCCGGACUGCGUGUAUCCGAAGAAAAAGCAUCGGCUAACUCCGUGCCAGCAGCCGCGGUAAUACGGAGGAUGCGAGCGUUAUCCGGAUUUAUUGGGUUAAAGGGGUGCGUAGGCGGUCCGUUAAGUUAGCGGUAAAAUUGCGGGGCUCAACCCCGUGCAGCCGUUGAAACUGGUAGACUUGAGUAUGCGUGAGGUAGGCGGAAUGCACGGUGUAGCGGUGAAAUGCAUAGAUAUCGCGCAGAACACCGAUUGCGAAGGCAGCGUACCGG
rnacentral:rRNA from 1 species